rnacentral:lncRNA from 1 species
AUGGACGCCGCCCGCCUCCGCGCACAAGCCCGGCCCUGCCGGCUCACGGACUCGGUGCCGGAGCGGGGAAGGAAGGCGGCCUGGGGAGCGAAGAAGACCGAACCUCCUCUCUGGGUUCUGGCCGAAAGUGGGAUCGUGAAGGAAGCGUCCUCCCCACAGGGUGAGCGGCGGCCGCCGUUAGGCUCGGGCGCAGGACGCGCCGCCGCCCCGCCUGGCCGCGGGUUCCUUUCGAGCGUCUCCGACACGUCUCUUUCCACGUUGGGGACAAGUGCGGGACAAGACGUGGACUCUAAGUCUUGAACAUCAAAAAAUGACUACAGCCAAAAAAGCAAAGCUGAAAACAGCUGAAAUCAUUGCAAGAGGCCUGGAUAGAGUUAUGUGGAGUGAUCAAAUGCAAUGGGAAAACGUUAUAUAUUCUAUGUAGUAAAAGUGUUUCUUGAAGGGAAAUUGAGGAAAUAUCAUUCCCAGUAUCUUAGUUUUUGCAACUAUCUUUCUAAAACAAAUUAUAUGCCAGCUUUCAAAUUUCACAGUGCACAGCAAAACAUGAUUAGCCCCUCAUGGAUGGGGAGUUUAUCCAAAUGGCCAUGUUGUCUGGGAGUAAUUCCCUUUUUCAUGGUUUCCCAAACAAGGAUAAAAUUAUUAAAUGUAUCUCUGAGAUGAAUUUAGCAGAAAUAUCGUUAAAGAUCAAGUCCUGGAUGUAGCAAAUGAUGUUGGUCAGCAGCUCAAAACUGACUUACAAAAGGCAGCCUGUUACUCCAUGUGCUUGGGUGAAUGCACAGAUAUAAAUUAUCAUGCAAGGCUAGCAAUAACUGUGUUAUGCUGUUGGUGACACCAUGAGAGAAGAGCUGGUAAAACUCAUGUCUUUGCUGGAAGAACACAAGAGAUGGAUAUCUACAAUGCUGUGCUAGAGGCUUUUUGUCACAAGACAUACGACAAAAAAAAGUGGUUUCAAUUACUAGCGACGGGGCACCUUGCAUGGUGGGGGCAACAUCUGGUUUCAUAUAGUUCUUUGUUAGAGAAGUAAAAUACCCAGGAUUCACUUUUAUUGUAUUAUACAUUAAGAAGCUCUUUAUGCCAGGGAAAGCAGCAAAAAAAAAAAUUAGAGGAUGUCACAAAAAUAGUGAACUACACCAUGGCUCAUGCUCUUAACUUUUUUCAAGCACUUCUUGAUGAGGAUCAGGCACAGUGUAAUGCUUUACUUAUGUACAAUAAUGUCCAGGAGCUGAGCAGAGAAUAAGUUCUGGAGAGAUUUGUAGCUUGCUUGGAUGAAAUUAGGCUGUUUAUGAAUGAAAAAGGGCAGGAAUAGCCACAACUUAUUGAUACAACCCCAUUUUAAAAAAUAUGUAACAGAUUUUACACUACAAUGUACUGAACAAAAAACUAUAAAGGAUGUUUUGUAAUAUCAAAACAUUUGAGAGAAAAUGCAGGUUUUUGAAAGAAACCUUCAAAGUGGGCAGCUGAAAUAUUUUUCAAAUCUAAAAAUACAGUUAGAAAAUGGCACAAUAUUUGCAGACAAUCCUACAGGUCAUCAGGAAAUCUACAAGGAAUUUUCUAGCAUUGUAGCAGCUGUAAAGGAGAAAUUUAGUAACAGAUUUUUAUAGUUCCAUUAAGAUGGAGACAACGCUGUGUUUUCUCACUUCUCCAAAUAAAGCCAACAUUGAAGAACUUGAUCUUUCCUCCUUACACUGGAUAGAUUUUGGAAAUCUGGAAAUGGAGCUAUUAGAAUUUUAAGAAACUCUAUGACCUGCAUGCAACACUUGAGAAGACAGAGAAUAUAGAGUGAAGGGAUGACAAAGGUCAGCAGAGCUGGUAGCUCUGAAAAUGAAAUCCUGAAAGUGUGGCGUUCUCUGUGAAAUAAUUUUAAGUCAAUGAGCCCUUGGGAUCGCUUUUCUUUGUUUAGAUCAUCUUAUACUUGUGAGCAGCUAUUUUCAGGUUUGAAUUAUAUCAAAUCUGAUACAAGAAACAGAUUAACAGCUGACUGAGUGCUGCAUGUGUUGCCCCCAAACUAACGAGUGUGAGCCAAGGUUUGACAAAUUAUCGGCAUGUAUACAACAGCAAAGAUCACAUUAAUUGGUCAAAAGCACUCCAAAUGCAAACUUUUAGCUUUCAAUAAAAGCCAUUUGUAUCACUGAAAGCUCUGUUACUGUGUUUAUCGUUUAAGACAAAAGAUGU